ACGCUGGCGGCGUGCUUAACACAUGCAAGUCGAACGAAGAGCGAUGGAAGCUUGCUUCUAUCAAUCUUAGUGGCGAACGGGUGAGUAACGCGUAAUCAACCUGCCCUUCAGAGGGGGACAACAGUUGGAAACGACUGCUAAUACCGCAUACGAUCUAACCUCGGCAUCGAGGAUGGAUGAAAGGUGGCCUCUAUUUAUAAGCUAUCACUGAAGGAGGGGAUUGCGUCUGAUUAGCUAGUUGGAGGGGUAACGGCCCACCAAGGCGAUGAUCAGUAGCCGGUCUGAGAGGAUGAACGGCCACAUUGGGACUGAGACACGGCCCAGACUCCUACGGGAGGCAGCAGUGGGGAAUCUUCCGCAAUGGACGAAAGUCUGACGGAGCAACGCCGCGUGAGUGAUGACGGCCUUCGGGUUGUAAAGCUCUGUUAAUCGGGACGAAAGGUCUUCUUGCGAAUAGUUAGAAGAAUUGACGGUACCGGAAUAGAAAGCCACGGCUAACUACGUGCCAGCAGCCGCGGUAAUACGUAGGUGGCAAGCGUUGUCCGGAAUUAUUGGGCGUAAAGCGCGCGCAGGCGGAUUGGUCAGUCUGUCUUAAAAGUUCGGGGCUUAACCCCGUGAUGGGAUGGAAACUGCCAAUCUAGAGUAUCGGAGAGGAAAGUGGAAUUCCUAGUGUAGCGGUGAAAUGCGUAGAUAUUAGGAAGAACACCAGUGGCGAAGGCGACUUUCUGGACGAAAACUGACGCUGAGGCGCGAAAGCCAGGGGAGCGAACGGGAUUGGAUACCCCGGUAGUCCUGGCCGUAAACGAUGGGUACUAGGUGUAGGAGGUAUCGACCCCUUCUGUGCCGGAGUUAACGCAAUAAGUACCCCGCCUGGGGAGUACGACCGCAAGGUUGAAACUCAAAGGAAUUGACGGGGGCCCGCACAAGCGGU
rnacentral:rRNA from 1 species